CCGUAACUAUAACGGUCCUAAGGUAGCGAAAUUCCUUGUCGGGUAAGUUCCGACCCGCACGAAAGGCGUAAUGAUUUGAGCGCUGUCUCGACAAUGCAUCCGGUGAAAUUGAAGUACCAGUGAAGAUGCUGGUUACCUGCGCCAGGACGGAAAGACCCCAUGGAGCUUUACUCCAGCUUGAUACUGGGAUUCGGUAUUGCAUGUACAGGAUAGGUGGGAGGCUGAGAAAUGGUAACGCCAGUUGCCAUGGAGCCAUUGUUGGGAUACCACCCUUGCAGUACUGGGUUUCUAACCAGCAGCCGUGACCCGGCUGGGGGACAAUGUCAGGUGGGGAGUUUGACUGGGGCGGUCGCCUCCGAAAGGGUAUCGGAGGCGCUCAAAGGUUCCCUCAGAAUGGUUGGAAACCAUUCGAAGAGUGCAAAGGCAGAAGGGAGCUUGACUGCGACACCGACGGGUGGAGCAGGUACGAAAGUAGGACUUAGUGAUCCGGUGGUAUUAAGUGGGAAUGCCAUCGCUCAACGGAUAAAAGCUACCCUGGGGAUAACAGGCUUAUCACUCCCAAGAGUUCACAUCGACGGAGUGGUUUGGCACCUCGAUGUCGGCUCAUCGCAUCCUGGGGCUGUAGUAGGUCCCAAGGGUUGGGCUGUUCGCCCAUUAAAGCGGUACGCGAGCUGGGUUCAGAACGUCGUGAGACAGUUCGGUCCCUAUCCGGCGUGGGCGUAGGAUAUCUGAGAGGAGCUGUCCUUAGUACGAGAGGACCGGGAUGGACGGACCGCUGGUGUACCUGUUGCAGUGCCAGCUGCAUGGCAGGGUAGCCAAGUCCGGAAGGGAUAAACGCUGAAGGCAUCUAAGCGUGAAGCCCCCCUCAAGAUGAGAUAUCCCAUUCGAAAGAAGUAAGACCCCUUGAAGACGACGAGGUAGAUAGGGCAGAGGUGGAAGUGCAGUAAUGUAUGGAGCUGACUGUUACUAAUCG
rnacentral:rRNA from 1 species